UACGUAGGAGACGAGCGUUGUUCGGAAUUAUUGGGCGUAAAGGGUGCGUAGGCGGUUUGGUAAGUCUGAUGUGAAAUCUAUGGGCUCAACUCAUAGUCUGCAUCGGAAACUGCCGGGCUUGAGUAUGGGAGAGGUGAGUGGAAUUCCUGGUGUAGCGGUGAAAUGCGUAGAUAUCAGGAGGAACACCUGUGGCGAAAGCGGCUCACUGGACCAUAACUGACGCUGAUGCACGAAAGCUAGGGGAGCAAACAGG
rnacentral:rRNA from 1 species